CACUACAGUGUGGAUGGAAAGAGUCACACUACAGUGUGGAUGAGUUGCACUACAGUGUGGGUGAGUCACACUACAGUUUGGGUGAGUCACACUACAGUGUGAGUGAGUCACACUACAGUGUUAGUGAGUCACACUACAAUGUGGAUGAGUCGCACUACAGUGUGGGUGAGUCACACUACAGUGUGAGUGAGUCACACUACAGUGUGGAUGAGUUGCACUAUAUUGUGGGUGAGUCA
rnacentral:lncRNA from 1 species